GGUGAACGCUGGCGGCGUGCUUAAGACAUGCAAGUCGAACGCAGUCUUCGGACUGAGUGGCGCACGGGUGAGUAACACGUAACUGACCUACCCCCAAGUCGCGAAUAACCAGCCGAAAGGAUGGCUAAUACGUGAUGUGAUGAACCGCCGUGGCGGAUCAUUAAAGACUUGAUCGCUUGGGGAUGGGGUUGCGUUCCAUCAGCUAGUUGGUAAGGUAAAGGCUUACCAAGGCAACGACGGAUAGCCGGCCUGAGAGGGUGGCCGGCCACAGGGGCACUGAGACACGGGUCCCACUCCUACGGGAGGCAGCAGUUAGGAAUCUUCCACAAUGGGCGCAAGCCUGAUGGAGCGACGCCGCGUGAGGGAUGAAGGUUCUCGGAUCGUAAACCUCUGAACCAACGACGAAAGACCCGACAAGGGAGAUGACGGUAGUUGGGUAAUAGCACCGGCUAACUCCGUGCCAGCCGCCGCAGUAACAC
rnacentral:rRNA from 1 species